GGGGUCGUAGCCUAGCCUGGCAGGGCGACGGGCUCCAGAGGUGAACUAAGCUACUGAUGAAAGGAUGAUGUAAGUUUGGAGCUGUAGUGACCCGUAGGUCGCCGGUUCGAUUCCGGUCGGCCCCA
rnacentral:tRNA from 8 species